rnacentral:lncRNA from 1 species
UUUUCUUUUAGUUUUCCCUUUCCUAUAGUCACAUACAUUUGCUUUAUGUCCUACAGUUCCACAACAAAAAUAGGUUAUUUUCUUAGUUUUACUCCCCUGCCUUAACAAAGAAGUUACUAAGAAGUUUUUGCUUAUUUUUAGGUUUAUAUCCUAAACCUGCUCUAUUGAAUACAGCUCGUUGACUAUUAAGUAUCAUAUUCAAUUUUUCAAAACUGUAUGUAAAUUUUUCAACCAAAGGUUUGUAUUUUUCAAGUUCUUUAGUUAGUGUUUGUUUUUCCGUUUUUAGAAUAUUCAAUUCUUUUGUAAGAUUCUCUUUUAAGAUUUGUUUAUUGUUUUUAAGUUCUGAAUUUUCCUUAAUUAGUUUUUCAUUAUCUUUACUCAAGGUAUUAGUUUUUUGACUUAAGAGUUGGUUGCUU